UCCCUGGAGGACUAGUGGUUAGGCCACAGCACUCUCGCCACCACGGCCUUUGUUUGAUUCCCAGCCAGGGAA